rnacentral:rRNA from 1 species
GACGAACGCUGGCGGUGUGCUUCACACAUGCAAGUCGAACGGGGUAGCAAUACCCAGUGGCGGACGGGUGAGUAACGCGUAGAAAUCUGCCUUGAGAUGGGGGAUAACAGUCCGAAAGGACUGCUAAUACCGCAUAUGUAUGUGCUCGGACACGAGCGUAUAUGAAAGGAGUAAUCCGUCUUAAGAUGAGUCUGCGUCCGAUUAGCUAGUUGGUAGGGUAAAGGCCACCAAGGCGACGAUCGGUAGCUGGUCUGAGAGGAUGAUCAGCCACAAUGGGACUGAGACAUGGCCCAUACUCCUACGGGAGGCAGCAGUGGGGAAUUUUGCGCAAUGGGCGAAAGCCUGACGCAGCGACGCCGCGUGAGGGAUGACGGCCUGG